rnacentral:rRNA from 1 species
UGGGGAAUAUUGGACAAUGGGCGAAAGCCUGAUCCAGCAAUGCCGCGUGAGUGAUGAAGGCCUUAGGGUUGUAAAGCUCUUUUUACCAGGGAUGAUAAUGACAGUACCUGGAGAAUAAGCUCCGGCUAACUCCGUGCCAGCAGCCGCGGUAAUACGGAGGGAGCUAGCGUUGUUCGGAAUUACUGGGCGUAAAGCGUACGUAGGCGGUGACUCAAGUCAGAGGUGAAAGCCUGGAGCUCAACUCCAGAACUGCCUUUGAAACUAGGUCGCUAGAAUCACGGAGAGGUGAGUGGAAUUCCGAGUGUAGAGGUGAAAUUCGUAGAUAUUCGGAAGAACACCAGUGGCGAAGGCGGCUCACUGGACGUGUAUUGACGCUGAGGUACGAAAGCGUGGGGAGCAAACAGGAUUAGAUACCCAUGUAGUCCCUGAGCGGGCUGGCAAGGCGCAU